CAAGAUUCUAGAGAAAGGCUUAGCCUAAACUUAAGUUAUAGGCCGAGUCAUGCAUUUCUUUUUAGUCAUAAGUGCUCCCAUGCAGUUGUAUAGGCUGAAUUUUAUUCUAUUUGAGUUGUGAGGUAAACAUGUAGGGCAAGGUGGCAGUACAGGUUACAACGUGUCUUGCCUCUCACAUGCAUUAGACACAUGGAUAGCUAUUUGCCCACUACUUGCAGCAAGAAGAAUGGAUGCUAAUUCAGUUGCUGACAUGUUGAAUGCAAAAUAAAAUGGCUUCAGACCAAACUUUUUUCAGCUAGUCAAAAAUAUUCAAUAAGAACUUAGUUUUAGAUUACUUUUUGGCUUUCCUUCAUAAUCUGAGAUCACUAAAGACCAUUGCUCAUAUUUCAAAAUUUAGGGCUAUUCUAGGAAGCUGUUAAAAGUUCAAAUUGAUUCAAUCAAGUAAACAACCAACCAAGAACUAACAAAAUAAUACUUCACAAGCAUGCAUGUAUAGCAGAAGUUUACAAGCUAAAAACAAAAGUACUUAACUUAGAAACAAAACAUACCGAUCUAAUAUAUGGUUGCUGGAACAACCAACCAACAAUAGGUAUCCUCUGCAAAAACACUGCCAGUGUUGGCCAAAAACCACUGCCAAGUCAAUAGACUAAAAGAUAAUCUCAUUAAUCCCAUCUUCAACUUCCAUACCUCCUCAUUUGCUGCUAAAUAAAAUUAAAGCAAAAGCCAUGUAAUUAAAAAGUCAAAUAUGCCAACACUAAAAACUUUGACUAUACAAAAUUGUUAUUCUAUAUGUUGUUCGAACAUGAAAUAAAACAAGAGAAGCAAUCAAAGUUCUAAUAAUCUCCCUCUUUGACAUUUUGACAAGAUCAACAACAAACAAUUAACACACAAUCUGAACAAAUCAACGAAAACUAGAAUAUAUCUCCCCCUAAGAAAUAGAACCAUGCUCGACCAUACACUUCCCUUGUCAAUAUGAUUGGUCAUCACAUUGUCCACCAAGCAUACACACUCUUUCCAAAGUAAUUUCAAGAAAUAUAGAGCAUGACAAAUAAUCCACACAAGUCCCAUCUAGUAUCAACAAA
rnacentral:lncRNA from 1 species